UACGUAGGGGGCAAGCGUUUGUCCGGAAUCAUUGGGCGUAAAGCGCGUGUAGGCGGCUCGAUAAGUCUGCUGCGAAAGUCCAGGGCUCAACCCUGGGAUGCCGGUGGAUACUGUCGAGCUCGAGUCCGGAAGAGGAGUGUGGAAUUCCUGGUGUAGCGGUGAAAUGCGCAGAUAUCAGGAGGAACACCAAUAGCGAAGGCAGCUCGCUGGGACGUUACUGACACUAAGGCGCGAAAGCGUGGGGAGCGAACAGG
rnacentral:rRNA from 1 species